rnacentral:lncRNA from 1 species
CUUGAAGUUAUUUGAACUUUGGGGUUUGGGUAUUCUGCUAGCUUAUGCACACACAGCACUGUUUGCAUUUAAGGGGCAAGGGUGUCUCUAUAAAUGUGGCCCUUACACGACUGAGUCAGGAAGUUGGCUUGGAAAAAGAGGAAUGUAGUGAUCUGCCUCAUACCAAGACAGAGCUUUCGUCCAUUUAGCUUGGCACUUUCUAUUUGACCUGCAUUGCUCUCCAUGGUUUCCACACAGGUGUCUUUCUCAGCCCUACAAAAUGCUGGGAAUUAAACCUGGGGCAUAUUGCAUGCAAAGCAUCUACUUGACUACUGAGCUGUUUCCCUAUUGACUGGGAAUUCUGGGACUUGCAGUUCCCAAAGUUAUUUUUUGAGCUCUGGUUCUGAAGCAGUAGUCUUACAUCUGCUAGAAUCCAGUGUCUAGCCUUGGUCAAAAAUGGCCCAAACUGAAUUACAUCACUUCCUAAAAACAAUCAAAUGUUGUACAUCUCCUUAAGGCAUCUUACAUAUUCACCACGAAGGCAGGAAACAGGAAAUGUGCAUGUUCUGUAAAGUGAAGGAAGCAUGAGAGCAGUAUCGUACCUGGUCACAGAGAGGACAACAUGCAAGAGCACCAGUUCGUGUUGUCUUUCCUUCUGUUGCUGAGUGAAAGACUUCCCUGCUAUGGCUCAUCUACAACAAUGGCAGAAGAAGCAAGUUCCGGGGAUGGUCCAUUGCCAUCUACUACCAUGGCCACAUUGGGACUUACCUCUUCCGUUGCAUUUUUGACAACUAGCGAUCAAGAUGGACAGGACGCUGACACCUCAUUAGCAGAAGCAGAGGGUUCUGAAGUGGGAAGCACCACCACUACAGAACCCACUGAUAUGCAAUCAGCAGGCUUGCAUCCGGCUGUGAUGUUUGGCGUCCCUGCAGCGCUGCUCUCCAUCUUGUUAGUUCUGCUGGUCAUCUUUAUUGUCAGACGCCGGAACCAGAAGCAAUCUAAACAAGGUAAUUCUUGGCAUGCCUUGGGUAAUGCUGCAUGGAUCUUUAUGGGAAAGGCAAAGUUUGGACAAGUUACAUUUUUUGACUCCA